UACGGAGGGGGCUAGCGUUGUUCGGAUUUAUUGGGCGUAAAGAGCGUGUAGGCGGCCAUACAGGUCAGCUGUGAAAACUCGAGGCUCAACCUCGAGACGUCGGUUGAAACCGUAUGGCUAGAGUCCGGAAGAGGAGAGUGGAAUUCCCGGUGUAGCGGUGAAAUGCGCAGAUAUCGGGAGGAACACCAAUGGCGAAGGCAGCUCGCUGGGACGGUACUGACGCCGAGACGCGAAAGCGUGGGGAGCAAACAGG
rnacentral:rRNA from 1 species